CAGCAGCCGCGGUAAUACGAGGGGGGCAAGCGUUGUUCGGAAUUAUUGGGCGUAAAGGGUGCGUAGGCGGUCUGAUAAGUCUUAUGUGAAAUCUCUGGGCUCAACCCAGAGUCUGCAUGGGAAACUGUCAGGCUUGAGAAUGGGAGAGGUGAGUGGAAUUUCCGGUGUAGCGGUGAAAUGCGUAGAUAUCGGAAGGAACACCUGUGGCGAAAGCGGCUCACUGGACCAUUUCUGACGCUGAUGCACGAAAGCUAGGGGAGCAAACAGGAUUAGAUACCCCAGUAGUCCCUGUCUCUUAUAC
rnacentral:rRNA from 1 species